AAAAUACUCCCUCUGUCUGAAAAAACUUGUCUUUCAAAUGAAUGUAUCUAACACUAAUUUGAUGCUAGAUACAUUCAUUUGAGGGACAACCUUUUUCAGACAGAGGGAGUAGUUA
rfam:Triticum aestivum genome assembly, contig: Triticum_aestivum_CS42_TGACv1_scaffold_093272_2AL